GGCUCAGUGGUAGAGUGCUUACCUUGCAUAUGAGGCCCAGCACCAUAAAAAAAAUUUCUAGAUGAAAUUAUGUGCUUUUCAAACUAGUCUUAGAUUCAGAGUAAAAGUUUUUAUUUUGAUCUGCAUUUUAUCCUGGAUAGAAUUAUUUGUAGAUAGUCUAUUAUUCACUUUAACCUUUUAUACAAUCUGGUUUAUAUUUGGUUCCCUAAGUCAUAUUUUUUGCAUAUUUGGUAUGUAGGCUUUUCCUUUAUAGCCUUUUUAUAUUUUACUUCCCAGUGUUAAUCUUCAUAACCAUUUUUUAUAAUCUCACAUAGAACCAGUCUCUUUGGGGUAGAUAGUUGAAAAUAAGUAUUUUCCUGAGAGAUCACCUCAUGCCCAUGCCCUAAUCUUUAGUAAGAAAGAGUAUUUUCACUGCAUGAAGUAUCUUCAAGACUAGCAAGCCAGGAGGAAGAAAAUGUAGAAGGCCUUUGCCACUUUCCUUGGUUGAAUGCCCUGUAGUAUUAAUGGACUUGCCCAGUAUGGGGUAGCCUAUGAAUGGGCAGAUUGUUUAUAUUAUUUUCAGCCCUUUUCUGUAUUAUAAGCCAGGGGGUGGUGGCAAAUGACUAUAAUUCCAGGGACUAGGAG
rnacentral:lncRNA from 1 species